rnacentral:misc_RNA from 1 species
AACCAGUAGUUCUCAAUCUCUCCCUUUUCCCCAGUAACUAGAGAAUAAUGCCAUAUUAAAUUUGUUUUUAUUUUUAAAAUGUUUUACAAAGGACACUAUUUGUUUUCCCAUAAAUGGUUUUUUUAGGAGGGAAUUUUUUUAUUGGAGAGAGUUACUUUUGCAUGUUACUGUUGAAUGAAAAUAUUUAACCUGUGUUGUAAGAAUUAAAAAAUGAUCUGAAAAAAGUUGAAAGGGAAAUUGAAAUUUCCAAGCUAUGUACGCUGUACUGGUUUUGAUAUUUCCAUGUGUUUUAAUAACAGAAAUCCUGGUGAAGUCAAUAAAUAUUUAUAAUUUCUCUGAUUUAAAAACCAAGGAAUAUUUGGAAUAUUAAGGAUUAAUUUAUGAGUCAUUUAUAGAUAAAUAUGUAUGUACAAAUUGCUUUUGUCUGAGGUUUCAUUUCUUUUCUAUGAUUGUAAAAGGUGAAAUUGUUAUGUGUUCAAUCAAAAAAAUGAAAAAGAUAUUUCAUGUUUGUAGACUACUAUAUCUUUACAACUGCUAGUCAGUUUUCCUUAUAAAAUUGUAGAUCAAUAUAGAAUGAUCGAUGUAUUGAAUAUUAUAUGGUUUAUAUAUUUUACUAGAUUUCUUCAACAGAAGUUUUCAAGUACAAGUAUUCUAGAAUUUGUAUGUAAACUUGUUUUGACCUCAGUUAAUGGCAAAUAAAAUCAAAAUAAUGUCU